rnacentral:snRNA from 1 species
UCGUAUAAUGAGUUACGUUC